rnacentral:rRNA from 1 species
UAGGACUGAACAUUUGAGUUACCAAAGAACUUGAUAGUCGAAGGAUUUGGGAAAAUCCGCCAUAGAUGGUGAUAGCCCAGUAGAUUAAAUCAAAUUCUCUCAGUUCAGGAUCCUGAGUACGGCGGAACACGUGAAAUUCCGUCGGAAUCCGGGAGGACCAUCUCCCAAGGCUAAAUACUACCUAGUGACCGAUAGUGAACCAGUACCGUGAGGGAAAGGUGAAAAGCACCCCGGGAGGGGAGUGAAAUAGUUCCUGAAACCAUGUGCCUACAAUAAGUCAGAGCGCGUUAAUGCGUGAUGGCGUGCCUUUUGU